UAAGGGCGACAUAGUUGCUGGGCGUAGACCCGAAACCAAGUGAUCUAUCCAUGGCCAGGAUGAAGGUGCGGUAACACGCACUGGAGGUCCGAACCCACUAAUUUGAAAAAUUAGGGGAUGAGCUGUGGAUAGGGGUGAAAGGCUAAACAAACUUGGAAAUAGCUGGUUCUCCCCGAAAACUAUUUAGGUAGUGCCUCGUGCGGACACUUCCGGGGGUAGAGCACUGUAAUCGUUGGGGGGUCAUUGCGAUCUACCCCGCGAUAGCAAACUCCGAAUACCGGAAAGUGAUACACGGGAGACAGACGGUGGGUGCUAACGUCCAUCGUCAAGAGGGAAACAACCCAGACCGCCAGCUAAGGUCCCAAAUCCAUGGCUAAGUGGAAAACGAGGUGGGAAGGCAUAGACAGCUAGGAGGUUGGCUUAGAAGCAGCCACCCUUUAAAGAAAGCGUAAUAGCUCACUAGUCGAGUCGUCCUGCGCGGAAGAUGUAACGGGGCUCAAGCCAUGAACCGAAGCUGCGGAUGCAUUUUAUGCAUGGUAGGGGAGC
rnacentral:rRNA from 1 species